rnacentral:rRNA from 1 species
CCUACGGGCGGCAGCAGUGAGGAAUAUUGGUCAAUGGGCGCGAGCCUGAACCAGCAAAGUAGCGUGAAGGAUGAAUGCUCUACGGGUUGUAAACUUCUUUUAUAAAGGAAUAAAGUGAGGCACGUGUGCCUUUUUGUAUGUACUUUAUGAAUAAGGAUCGGCUAACUCCGUGCCAGCAGCCGCGGUAAUACGGAGGCAGCGAGUGUUAACCGGGUUUAUUGGGUUAAAGGGGUGCGUAGGCGGAAUAUCAAGUCAGCGGUAAAAAUUCGGGGCUCAACCCCGUCGUGCCGUUGAAACUGAUUUUCUUGAGUGGGCGAGAAGUAUGCGGAAUUCGUGGUGUAGCGGUGAAAUGCAUAGAUAUCACGCAGAACUCCGAUUGCGAAGGCAGCAUACCGGCGCCCAACUGACGCUGAAGCACGAAAGCGUGGGUAUCGAACAGGAUUAGAUACCCUUGUAGUC